CACAAGCGGUGGAGCGUGUGGAUUAAUUCGAAGCAACGCGAAGAACCUUACCAGGUCUUGACAUCCUCUGACAAUCUGAGAGAUCAGACUUCCCUUCGGGGACAGAGAGACAGGUGGUGCAUGGUUGUCGUCAGCUCGUGUCGUGAGAUGUUGGGUUAAGUCCCGCAACGAGCGCAACCCCUAUUGUUAGUUGCCAUCAUUCAGUUGGGCACUCUAGCGAGACUGCCGGUAAUAAACCGGAGGAAGUGGGGAUGACGUCAAAUCAUCAUGCCCCUUAUGACCCGGGCUACACACGUGCUACAAUGGUUGGUACAACGAGUUGCGAGUCGGUGACGGCGAGCUAAUCUCUUAAAGCCAAUCUCAGUUCGGAUUGUAGGCUGCAACUCGCCUACAUGAAGUCGGAAUCGCUAGUAAUCGCGGAUCAGCACGCCGCGGUGAAUACGUUCCCGGGCCUU
rnacentral:rRNA from 1 species